UGUGGGAGCUGGCUUGCCUGCGAUAGCGGCGGGUCAGUUUGCAUUUAAGUGGCUGACAUUCCGCCAUCGCAGGCAAGCCAGCUCCCACA
rnacentral:antisense_RNA from 1 species